UCUGAAAUAGCUCAGUUGGUAGAGCAGGUGACUGUUAAUCACCGGGUCGUAGGUUCGAACCCUACUUUCAGAGCCA
rnacentral:tRNA from 1 species